CUUUCUUCUUUAGGGUAUAAUGGCAGCCAGCAUCCUUGUUGUUACACUGCUGCCACGUUCUGCAUCAGUCUGUUAUAGCAGUAUUAAAUCCCAUCAAUGAGUCCA